GGCAACCCAUGUCAUCUGCCAUCUCAUCUAUUUUAAUUACAUAAUUUGUUAUAUUUUAUUUUUUUCUUUCUUUUUUCAGUGUGAAAUUCUUUUAUUUAUAUAACAAAUUAUGUAAUUAAAAUAGAUGAGAUGGCAGAUGACAUGGGUUGCC
rnacentral:miRNA from 1 species